AAUAUAAACAUGACACUCUGAACUAUAUCCUUUUCCAUCAUGGAAAAACUUUAAAUUAUGUAGUAGCAUAAACUACCUGUACAUGACUGUCUGAAACUGAGGCUUUAUUUAAGGAAUAAGAAACCAUUCUUUAAGUAUUAGAGGUGAUAAUAAUGGUUGGGGUGUGGUCAGGUGCAAUAAAGCCUAAAGGGCUUUAUAACAGAUUUGACCAAACCUCGUCUGAAAUUGUCACCUCAUAACAUUCAGAAAAUGAUUCCUUAUAUUUAUAUUAUUUCCAAUUUGUACACUUUAAAACAACAUUUUAUAACCAUUAUUUUUUCAUGUAGCACAUGCUAUGUAUUACUAUGUGGCGCAGACAAUAUCAUUUUUUCGUAACCUGAACCAAAAGUUCAAGUGAGCUUUUCUCAUCGCCUGUUGUCCGUCAUCGUCUGUCUAUCCGUCUGUCUAAACUUUGUACAAAGCAUCAUUAUGGUAAGGGGUUCUAAAUUGUUACUGUGAAAUAAAAGGCCGAACCCUUUUUAAAAGGGAGAUAAUUAUGAAACAGUGAAAAUAUAGUGGGUGUCUUAAAAAAUCUUUAAGAACCACCGCACAAGAAAUGCCAUUAUUUACACCAUAGCUUGUAUAUAUAGUGAAGAUUAUAAGUUGUUAAAAUUGUGACCCUCAGAUUAAUACUGGGGCCCCAAGAGGGGUUCAAAGUUUUAAAUAAAAAUAUACAGGGAAAAUGUUUUAAAAUCUUCUCCUCAAGAACUACAAUGCUUCAAUUAGUGAGAUUACUAUACAAUCAUUCUUUAAGUUACAUAGUGAAGAUUCUAAAGUGUUAAAACCAUGACCUCCAGAUCAAUACUUGGGUUCAAAAUCUAACAUAGAAAUAUAUAGGGAAAAUGUAAAAAAAAAAAAAAAGCCAAAAAAACUUCUUCUCAAGAACUACAAUGUACACUCAAUGCUACAAUUUGUAAAAUUAAUAUGCAAACAGCCUCAAAUGAUGUUCACUCUAAAUUGUUAAAACCGUGACCCCUAGACCAACACUUGGGCCCCAAGAGGGGUUCAAAGUUUAUCAUAGAAAUAUAUAGGGAAAAUUAUGUUUAAAAAACUUCUUCACAAUAAUUGUGAUCCCUAGUACAAUACUGUGUCCGUAGAAGGGGUUUCAAGUUUACAUAGAAAUAUAUAUGGAUAAUGUUUGAAAAUCUUCUUUUCAAGAACUAGAGCUACAAUUUGUGAACUUACUAUGCAAGCAUCCUCAAAAAGUGAGGAUUCUUAAUUGCUAAAACCGUUAUCCCCAGAUCUAAACUGGAACCCAAAUAGGUGUUCAAGUUUCAAAAUUCAAUAUAUAUAGAAAUUGUUUGAAUUUAAUUUAUGAGGUUAUUAUGCAUGCAUUCUAAGAUAAUGUACUAGUGGAUUCUAAAUUGCUAAAACCGUGACCCCCAGACCAGUAGAUGGGUUCAAAGUUUAUUUAUAGAAGUAUAUUAGAAAAUUGUUUGAAAAUCUUCAUCUAAAAAAAACCCAAUACUACAUUUAGUGACGGUAUUUAAGUAUGUAUUAGCAUUAUCAUAUCUUUAUUUUGAUGUCACAGUGAUCUUCUUUCACCUUUUAAUGAUUAUUGAUAGUUCUUUCACAUUUUUGCUAUCUUUAAUACUUCGAGGCAUAGUGUAAUAGGGUGCAUUUUAUGAUAAUUACAUUCAUGCAUAUUAUUCAUAUUUCAUCAUCAUCAUCUUACAUUCCAUAUUUUACAUGUACAUAUUUAGAAACAGACUAAUAUCCCUAUAACUCCCUGUCUUUUAUGCAUCUAUCAAGUAAUCAUUACUUAAUUACCUUUUCUAGUGGUUUCUAAUAUUUUAUAGCCUUAAGUCAUUUCACCUGUAUGGUCACUUACAUACAUGUGGACAGGAUCAGGUGGUUUACUUAGCCAAUAGUAUGUUUUUAUGAUUUUUUCCCGCUUUAACUGAGUAGCCUUUGUGACAGACCAAGGCUAGUAUUCCUAGGAGUAAGACCUAAUUUCUUCAAGAGACGAUUUCACUUAUUCAUUUAUUUCAUCAACACAUUUGAAGCAGUCAGUUAUAGUAAGUGUUCUAUUUUUUUGGUAUUCUUGAACUUUAAUAAAUAAUUUAAUAGAUAAUAAUGAUAUUUUCUGUUAAUUGGUACAUUUGGCUAAUUCUACUUUUUGAGGUGAUAAUACCUUAUUUAUGAAAGAAUGUAUUUUAUAAAUUAUCCCAGUAAUUCAUAGUUUUGAUAUCUAAGCUAUAGUAUCUCAUUUCUAAUAUAUGUGAAAGGUUAGUUAUUGUUACCAUUAUGAUAUUUAAUACUUGUAGUUAGAGACUACCAUUGUCAGAGUAAUCUGCAGGAUUGUGCAUGAAACCUUGUUCCAUAAACAGGUGAUCGUUGCAAAGUUAUAUUUUUAUAUUUAUUUUAUGUAUCUUGAUAAAAUGUAAUCUACAAAGGAGUUACAUUGAAAGUAUAUGUUUUUAUUUAAUUAAAUAUAUAUAUAGAUAUUGAUAAAGAUGUAGAGCAUAUUUCUAUAUUUUUGUAAAUUGUGUUCAAGGGCAGUAACUCUUCUUGACACUGAUUAAAAUGCAUCAUAAAUUCAGAGUUAUCCUUCUUUACAAAUAGUUUGAUUAGUGAACUCUGAGCAUUAAUGUAUUUCAUGAAUAUGUAUUUGAAUAUGAUUGUAUAUUUUUAUGCUGAUAUCUAUGAAUUAUAUUACAGGGUUUAAAUCCUUUAAUCCUAACCAUUUAUCCGAAUAAAUGAAGAACCCUUAAAGUGGACUUGUUUAUUUCUUGGGACAACCCACUAUCACAUUUGGCGCCCACGUUGCAUUCGGAUACCAAGGAGAUGGGGACCACACAUGAAGCUGACUGAUGUCUACAGAUUCUUAUGGUGGAAAGCCGAGGUCUAUACAGAUUGAACACUGGACUCAUGUUUUGUGACUCUUGAAUCCUGACCUGUUCCAGAUUCCAGACUCCGGAGCCAUUCAACACCUUGAGAUAACAGACAACAGACAGUGCAGCCGUUUGAUCAUUUAGAGACUACCAUUGUCAGAGUAAUCUGCAGGAUUGUGCAUGAAACCUUGUUCCAUAAACAGGGUUUAAAUCCUUUAAUCCUAACCAUUUAUCCGAAUAAAUGAAGAACCCUUAAAGUGGACUUGUUUAUUUCUUGGGACAACCCACUAUCACAAUAGGAUAAUGAGAUUG